GGGACUGGUACGGGGUUCCUCCUAGAGUUAGAGUUUGAUCCUGGCUCAGAUUGAACGCUGGCGGCAGGCCUAACACAUGCAAGUCGAACGGUAACAGGAAGAAGCUUGCUUCUUUGCUGACGAGUGGCGGACGGGUGAGUAAUGUCUGGGAAACUGCCUGAUGGAGGGGGAUAACUACUGGAAACGGUAGCUAAUACCGCAUAACGUCGCAAGACCAAAGAGGGGGACCUUCGGGCCUCUUGCCAUCGGAUGUGCCCAGAUGGGAUUAGCUAGUAGGUGGGGUAACGGCUCACCUAGGCGACGAUCCCUAGCUGGUCUGAGAGGAUGACCAGCCACACUGGAACUGAGACACGGUCCAGACUCCUACGGGAGGCAGCAGUGGGGAAUAUUGCACAAUGGGCGCAAGCCUGAUGCAGCCAUGCCGCGUGUAUGAAGAAGGCCUUCGGGUUGUAAAGACUUUUCCAGCGGGGGAGGAAGGGGAGUAAAGUUUAAUACCUUUUGCUCAUUGACAUUACCCGCACAAGAAGCCGCCGGCUAACUCCGUGCCAACAGCCGCGGUAAUAGCGAGGGGUGGCAAGCGUUAAUCCGGAAUUACCGGGGCGUAAAGCGGACGCAGGGCGGUUUGUUAAGUCAAAAUGUUGAAAUCCCCCGGGCUCAACCUGGGAACUGCAUCUGAUACUGGCAAGCUUUGAUCUCGUAAAGGGGGGUAAAAUUCCAAGUGUAACGUUGAAAUGCGUAGAGAUCUGGAGGAAUACCGGUGGCGAAAGCCGCCCCCUGGACCAAGACUGACGCUCAGGUGCCAAACAGUGAGGAAGCAAACAGGAUUAGAUACCCUGGUAAUCCACGCCGGUAAACCAUGUCAACUUGGAAGGUUGUGCCCUUGAAGCGUGGGCUUCAGGAGCUAACGCGUUCAAAUUCAGCCGGCUGGGGAGUACGGUCCGCCUUGGUUAAAUCUCGAAUGGAAAUGACGGCGCCCCGCUCUAGCCGCUGCAACAUGUGAGUUUAGUUCGAUGCAACGAGCAGAGCAUUACUUGAUCAUGACAUUCUACGCAGUUUUUAUAAGAUUAAAAUGUGCUUGAGUAACCCUGGAGAACAAGCUGCUGCAAUUGGCUUGUUGAUCAGCAUCA
rnacentral:rRNA from 1 species